UACGUAGGGCGCAAGCGUUAUCCGGAAUUCUUGGGCGUCAAGAGCUCGUAGGCGGUUUGUCGCGUCUGCCGUGAAAGUCCGGGGCUCAACUCCGGAUCUGCGGUGGGUACGGGCAGACUAGAGUGAUGUAGGGGAGACUGGAAUUCCUGGUGUAGCGGUGAAAUGCGCAGAUAUCAGGAGGAACACCGAUGGCGAAGGCAGGUCUCUGGGCAUUAACUGACGCUGAGGAGCGAAAGCAUGGGGAGCGAACAGG
rnacentral:rRNA from 1 species